GAUUCCAUUGAAGACCUCCAAGGUGCAGCCAGCUGCUAAGUCAUGGCAAGUCAACAUUGUGUCCUAUCACAACAAGGCUUUGCAACAGCAAUGAUGCAAUCACUCAGUAGAUGCUGUUUAAACAUUACAUUAAAAGGCAAGCUGAAGUCCAAGGUUAUCUUGAGCAGAAAUGGGCCUCUCUCCUCCACACCUGUGUCCAGAGGCUAAAUCCUAC
rnacentral:lncRNA from 1 species